rnacentral:misc_RNA from 1 species
GUGAAUCAUCGAAUCUUUGAACGCAUAUUGCGCCCCUUGGUAUUCCUUGGGGCACACCUGUUCGAGCGUCAUUUCACCAAUCAAGCCUCGCUUGGUAUUGGGCGAUGCGCAUGCCGCACGCCCCAAAUGCACCGGCCGAGCGUGCUCUCCCCCGGCGUCGUGGAGACAUAUCGCCAUGGGGAUGGGACCGCCCUCGCGCCGCAAAAACCUCUCAUAAAGGUUGACCUCGGAUCAGGUGGGGAUACCCGCUGAACUUAAGCAUAUCAAUAAGCGGAGGA